rnacentral:rRNA from 1 species
AUGUCUGCGCUGCAUGUUCUCUUCCUCGCGGUCUUGCUGGCCAUGUCGGCGACCGGCCACGCGGCGGCCUUGCGCGCCGAUCUCAGGCACGUCGACAGCGGCCGCGGCUUCACCAAGCGCGAGCUGCUCCGCCGGAUGGCCACCCGGUCGCGGGCUCGUGUAGACAGCCGGUGGUCACCACCGCCCGGCCGCGGCGCCAACGCCCACGCGGUGACCGCGCCGUUGACCCGCGGCACCGUCGGCAAAGAAGAGUUCAACUCUGAUUACGUCAUCCACUUUGCCAUCGGCACGCCACAGCCGCAGCCCGUGGCGCUGGCGCUGGACACGGGUAGCGACUUGGUCUGGACUCAGUGCGAUUGCGACGUCUGCUUCGACCAGCCGUUCCCGGCGCUCAACACCUCCGCCUCCGACACCCUCCGCGGCGUCUCGUGCUACGACCCUCUCUGCACGCGGGGGAGGCUCAAGCUCUCCGGGUGCGCCGCCGGCGACAACUUGUGCUUGUACGUCUACUCCUACGCCGACAAGUCGAUGACGACGGGGCUGAUCUUCGAGGACACCUUCACCUUCAAGGCGCCCAACGGCAAGGUCGCCGCCGUGCCCAACCUCCGCUUUGGUUGUGGCAUGUACAACGCCGGCAAGUUCGGACCAACCGAGUCCGGCGUCGCCGGUUUCGCCCGCGGGCCGCUGUCUCUGCCGUCGCUGCUCAAGCUCCCCAGGUUCUCCCACUGCUUCACCGCCAUGGUGGAGUCCAGGACCAGCCCCAUGUUCCUGGGCACGCCGGACAACCUGGGAGCGCAGGCCACGGGGCCCAUCCAGUCCACCCCGUUCGUCCGGAGCCCCGCGGGCCCGUUCGGCACGCUGUACUACAUUUCGCUCAAAGGCAUCACCGUGGGCAAGACGCGGCUGCCGUUCGACGCGUCGGCGUUCGCGGUCAAGGACGGCGUCUCCGGCGGGACGAUCAUCGACUCUGGCUCGAGCAUCACGAGCUUCCCACGGCCCGUGUUCCGAAGCCUCCGGAAGGCGUUCAUGUCGCAGGUGCCGCUGCCCGUCGCCAACGUCUCCGCCACCGACCCCGAUACGAUGCUGUGCUUCCUCACCUCGCCGAAGAAGGAGGCGCCCGCCAUGCCGAAGCUGAUCCUCCACCUGGAGGGCGCGGACUGGGACCUUCCACGGGAGAACUACGUGGUGGAUGUCGAAGACUUCGAGGACGGUACCGGCGGCGGGCCGUGCGUGGUGAUAAAUUCGGCGGACGAGAGCUCCCCGACGAUCAUAGGCAACUUCCAGCAGCAGAACACGCACAUCGUCUACGACCUGGAGAACAAUAAGCUGGUGUUCGUGCCCGCGCGCUGCGACAAGCUGUGA